CACGUAGGGUGCAAGCGUUGUCCGGAAUCAUUGGGCGUAAAGAGCUCGUAGGCGGUUUGUCGCGUCGGAUGUGAAAACCCGGGGCUUAACCCCGGGCCUGCAUUCGAUACGGGCUGACUAGAGUACGGCAGGGGAGACUGGAAUUCCUGGUGUAGCGGUGAAAUGCGCAGAUAUCAGGAGGAACACCGGUGGCGAAGGCGGGUCUCUGGGCCGAUACUGACGCUGAGGAGCGAAAGCGUGGGGAGCGAACAGG
rnacentral:rRNA from 1 species